ACAUUGAAACACCAGUUCAUGUACGAUCUCCAAAGUUAAGCAACAUCGAGCCUGGUCACUACCUAGAUGGGUGACUACUAGGGAAUACCUAGUGCUGUA